UGACGACGAGACACUAAGGCGUUGAAGCAGUGUACGUCAGACUUCCAAGAAAAGCUCGCAAUGUCAUGAAUAAAAAAUGCCUGUACCAUAACCGACACAGGUGGGUAGGUAGAGUAUACUAAGGGGCGCGAGAUAACUCUCUCUAAGGAACUCGGCAAAAUGACUCCGUAACUUCGGGAGAAGGAGUGCCUUAUUUAUAAGGUUGCAAUAACAAGAUCCAAGCAACUGUUUAUCAAAAACACAGGUCUCCGCUAAGUCGUAAGACGAUGUAUGGGGGCUGACGCCUGCCCAGUGCCAGAAGGUUAAAGAAGUUGGUUAGUGUAUGCGAAGCUGAUGACUGAAGCCCUGGUGAACGGCGGCCGUAACCAUAACGGUCCUAAGGUAGCGAAAUUCCUUGUCGGGUAAGUUCCGACCCGCACGAAAGGCGUAAUGAUUUGGAUACUGUCUCGGAGAGAGGCUCGGUGAAAUAGACUUGUCUGUGAAGAUGCGGACUACCUGCACCAGGACAGAAAGACCCUAUAAAGCUUUACUGUAACUUGAGAUUGGAAUUGGACUUUGCUUGCGCAGUAUAGGUGGGAAGCGUUGAAGAUAUUCUUGCGGGAGUAUUGGAGCUAUCAGUGAGAUACCACUCUUGUAAUGUUAGAUUUCUAACUUUGAACCAUAAUCUGGUCAAAGAACAGUUUCAGGUGGGCAGUUUGACUGGGGCGGUCGCCUCCCAAAUGGUAACGGAGGCGUACAAAGGUUUCCUCUGAACGGAUAGAAAUCGUAUCUAGAGUGUAAAGGCAUAAGGAAGCUUGACUGUGAGACCUACAAGUCGAGCAGGGACGAAAGUCGGUCUUAGUGAUCUGACGGUACUGAGUGGAAAGGCCGUCACUCAACGGAUAAAAGUUACUCUAAGGAUAACAGGCUGAUCUCCCCCAAGAGUUCACAUCGACGGGGAGGUUUGGCACCUCGAUGUCGGCUCAUCGCAUCCUGGGGCGGUAGUACGUCCCAAGGUUGGGCUGUUCGCCCAUGAAAGCGGUACGCGAGCUGGGUUCAGAACGUCGUGAGACAGUUCGGUCCAUAUCCGGUGUAGGCGUUAGAAUAUUGAGAGGAGCCUUCUUUAGUACGAGAGGACCGAGAAGGACACACCGCUGGUGUACCAGUUAUCGUGCCAACGGUAAACGCUGGGUAGCUAUGUGUGGAGUGGAUAACCGCUGAAAGCAUCUAAGUGGGAAGCCCACCUCAAGAUGAGUAUUCUCAUCACUAUAAGUGAGUAAGGUCACGGUAAGACUAACCGUUUGAUAGGCAUUAAGUGUAAAUGUAGUAAUGCAUGUGCUGAGAUGUCCUAACAGACCGAGGAC
rnacentral:rRNA from 1 species